rnacentral:lncRNA from 1 species
AGUUUUUUGCUUCUGUCUGCCAAUUUUUCCUUUGGGGCACUCAUCAUUUUGAUUACUUAAAUAUGCAUCUUAUGUAGGUAGAAACUGGAACCACUGUCUUGAAUCAAAAGAUGGAAGAAGCUUCUCUUGAAGAUUAAAGGGACACAAGACAGAAGUUGUCUGUGUCCCUGAGGGCUUAGCAGAGGAGACUUGACCUACUUUCUUGGGCUUGUUGUGACAUCUAUUUUGUUUAAG